GUUGCCCCCUGAGCUGGACUGAGCCCAAAACAGCAGAAAGCACACUGUGCUGAAGUGCAUCCUGCUGUGUUUUUCCAGCUCAUCAUAUGCAGGCUGGCCCAUGUGAGGGUGUGUGUGCUACAGCCACACAUCUCAGUAUCGACACAGCCCCAAACUCCACACAGAGGACUGAGACUGGGGAGAAUGGAUGAGGACAGAGAGAAUGAAGAAGAAAGACAGCCUACUUAAAGACAGAACUUCAUUUGGUAAAGUGUCUUGAUGAUGUCCUGUUACAGUUAUUAAUAACAUUGCAAAUGGCACAGGGGAGAAAAAAGGAUGGUAAGCCAAAUGUCAUUAAUAAUAGCUGCAAUAUUCUUAGUGUUAACAAAUUAUCAGCUGUAUAAAUUUUUAAUUAAUAGGAGUAUGAACAGCAAUUUGACUGUCAACAGGCAUCAGUAUUGAUGUGUGCGAGUGAAGCAUGGCAAGGCAAAGAUCAAAGGGGGAGGAUAACAGAAACCACGCAGCUGUGAAUGACAAGUCAGCGUUUUCUGAACAAACUUCUGAGAGCAUCACGACUUCAAGUGCAGGCCUCUGUAAUGAGAAGAAAGAUGAGUCUAGGUGAAGAUCUAGCAAAGGUAGAAAAGUUUUCUCUCACAAGUAGUGCCUCUGAAAAUUCACUGGAAAUAGCUGGCCAGAUACCGUUCCCUGUUCUACUGAGGGAUUUUGAUGACCAAGAGAGCAACAUGUGGACACAUCUUUUUCCCCUCCAUUAAGGAGUACGGAUGGCUGAACUCAAAUCCCAGGACCAUCUGCUACUUGGGAAAGAGUAAGGCCUGUAUAUGAUUUCUGUAAUUCAGCUCAGUUUGUAAUUUGU
rnacentral:lncRNA from 1 species